CUCUAAUGGAUUAUUCUCUGGUCUUGAUUAACCAAAGAAAAAGAUGCAUUCGUGAGUGGGUCUGUGUGUGAUCUGGCCUCUUUCUAGGUUGUGAGGAGGAAGAGGCAGAUCUUUUUUGUUCUCUCAUUCUGCCCUUUCUUAGCCCUCAAAAUGACCUGGUUUUCUUAACAGGCAUCAUUAGAAAUAGACUUUGUAAAAGGAAGAAGAUCCCUGUAAGAUCAGUCAACAUAAAGGAAUUAUCUCAACACUUAAACACUUACACAUAGUAAGUGAUCGUAGAUGAAUUUCUCAGCGGCUUCUUUCUCUAAAAAUUCAAACAGCUGGAGCUAUAAAUCAGGAACAGAAGAUAAAAAUGAAAAGGAAGAUGAAAGUUACAUCUAAGAGAUGUCAACUCACUGUUAUUACCACAAGUGGGUUUUUUGUUUCAUUGCAUAAUCACAUUACUAAAAACUGACAUACUAUCUUAUGCAAGGCCAUGCAAAACAUAAACAGUGCAACUGGGUAGCUACCAGCAUCACUUCUACAUUCCUCAGUUUAAAAUCAUGUAAUAUCUUGAGCAGUAAAACUAGAAAGAGAUUUUUUCCUAAUAGGUGAAAUUUAGCUGUCUUUCGGACAGUGGAUAUGGAAAUAUCAUUUAUGAUUAUUUCAGAUGGGAGAUAUUCUUGGUCCUGGUGAAUUCCAUAGCAGGAAUUUAAAACAGGACUCUUUGUUGUGUCUGCUUGGAUCACUUACAGCCCUUGGUACCUGCCUCUUUGGAAGGCACCUCCGGUCACAUCAGGAGCAUGGAUGGGGCCCCACCUGCAUACACAUGGAGAUGGACUCAUCCUCCAGCUACUUUGGAUACCGUGGCUCCCAUUUUUCUACUUUCUCUGAAGGAUUGAAGCCACCUUGCCCAGAAGUCACUGGGAGUUAUGCCUCCUCCCUAAGGAUGGCCCACAGCCAGUGCCUCAUUGGAGCAAGAGGUACAGAAGCCCUGCUCCCUCAUCUGAAGAUGGGGCAGGCUCCGCAGUGCAAUCCAUGCACCCGAGCUCCCAUGGCAUCAGACUGACAUUGCUGGAAGCCACAGUCUUCCUCAGCUUCUCCUUCCCUGUCCUGCUUCCCUCACUCCCUUAUGGUUUUCUCCUGAGGGCACUCCCUUAAUAAAUCACUUGCGUCAAGAAUCCACAUCAUGGGCUCUGCUUCUAGGGAAACUGGCAGUUCACAAUCUUAGAAUAUAUUAUAUAUUUAGUUCCUCUUUGGGGGUAAUAACUUUACCUGCCUGAGGGCAGAAGUAUUUAUAUUUCCUCUAAUAUUUAGCACAGGGCUUUGCACAUGAUAGGGGUUUGUUAACUUCUAGGAAUAAAGUAAUUUGAAUAAACUUGAGCUGAUCUUUAAAAAUAGGCAAAAACCAAACAUCAUACCUUAUCAGCCUGGUUAAAUAGGAGGAUUGGCCGGGUGCAGUGGCUCACGCCUAUAAUCUCAGCACUUUGGGAGGCC
rnacentral:lncRNA from 10 species